CAGUCGCCACGGGAAUACGUAGGUGGCAAGCGUUGUCCGGAAUUAUUGGGCGUAAAGCGAGCGCAGGCAGUUUGAUAAGUCUGAAGUUAAAGGCUGUGGCUCAACCAUAGUUCGCUUUGGAAACUGUCAAACUUGAGUACAGAAGGGGAGAGUGGAAUUCCAUGUGUAGCGGUGAAAUGCGUAGAUAUAUGGAGGAACACCGGUGGCGAAAGCGGCUCUCUGGUCUGUCACUGACGCUGAGGCUCGAAAGCGUGGGUAGCGAACAGGAUUAGAUACCCGCGUAGUCCCUGUCUCUUAUACA
rnacentral:rRNA from 1 species